GACGAACGCUGGCGGCGUGCCUAAUACAUGCAAGUCGAACGAAGCUUUUUUAACUGGUGCUUGCACCGACUUAAACAACUGAGUGGCGAACGGGUGAGUAACACGUGGGUAACCUGCCCCAAAGCGGGGGAUAACAUUUGGAAACAGAUGCUAAUACCGCAUAACCACAGAAACCACAUGGUUUCUGUGUCAAAGAUGGUUUCGGCUAUCACUUUGGGAUGGACCCGCGGCGUAUUAGCUAGUUGGUAAGGUAAUGGCUUACCAAGGCAAUGAUACGUAGCCGAACUGAGAGGUUGAUCGGCCACAUUGGGACUGAGACACGGCCCAAACUCCUACGGGAGGCAGCAGUAGGGAAUCUUCCACAAUGGACGAAAGUCUGAUGGAGCAACGCCGCGUGAGUGAAGAAGGUUUUCGGAUCGUAAAACUCUGUUGUCAGAGAAGAACGUGUGCGAGAGUAACUGCUCGUGCAGUGACGGUAUCUGGCCAGAAAGCCACGGCUAACUACGUGCCAGCCGCCGCCGUAAAAC
rnacentral:rRNA from 1 species